rnacentral:rRNA from 1 species
AUUGAACGCUGGCGGCAGGCCUAACACAUGCAAGUCGAGCGGCAGCGGAAAAGUAGCUUGCUACUUUUGCCGGCGAGCGGCGGACGGGUGAGUAAUGCCUGGGGAUCUGCCCAGUCGAGGGGGAUAACUACUGGAAACGGUAGCUAAUACCGCAUACGCCCUACGGGGGAACGCAGGGGACCUUCGGGCCUUGCGCGCUUGGAUGAACCCAGGGGGGAUUAGCUAGUUGGUGAGGUAAUAGCUCACCAAGGCGACGAUCCCUAGCUGGUCUGAGAGGAUGAUCAGCCACACUGGAACUGAGACACGGUCCAGACUCCUACGGGAGGCAGCAGUGGGGAAUAUUGCACAAUGGGGGAACCCUGAUGCAGCCAUGCCGCGUGUGUGAAGAAGGCCUUCGGGUUGUAAAGCACUUUCAGCGAGGAGGAAAGGUCAGUAGCUAAUAUCUGCUGGCUGUGACGUUACUCGCAGAAGAAGCACCGGCUAACUCCGUGCCAGCAGCCGCAGUAA